rnacentral:rRNA from 9 species
GGGUUGUGAGGUUAAGCGACUAAGCGUACACGGUGGAUGCCCUGGCAGUCAGAGGCGAUGAAGGGCGUGCUAAUCUGCGAUAAGCGCCGGUAAGGUGAUAUGAACCGUUAUAACCGGCGAUACCCGAAUGGGGAAACCCAGUGUGAUUCGUCACACUAUCAUUAACUGAAUCCAUAGGUUAAUGAGGCGAACCGGGGGAACUGAAACAUCUAAGUACCCCGAGGAAAAGAAAUCAACCGAGAUUCCCCCAGUAGCGGCGAGCGAACGGGGAGGAGCCCAGAGCCUGAAUCAGCAUGUGUGUUAGUGGAAGCGUCUGGAAAGGCGCGCGAUACAGGGUGACAGCCCCGUACACAAAAGCGCAUGUGCUGUGAGCUCGAUGAGUAGGGCGGGACACGUGGUAUCCUGUCUGAAUAUGGGGGGACCAUCCUCCAAGGCUAAAUACUCCUGACUGACCGAUAGUGAACCAGUACCGUGAGGGAAAGGCGAAAAGAACCCCGGCGAGGGGAGUGAAAAAGAACCUGAAACCGUGUACGUACAAGCAGUGGGAGCACCCUUCGGGGUGUGACUGCGUACCUUUUGUAUAAUGGGUCAGCGACUUAUAUUCUGUAGCAAGGUUAACCGUAUAGGGGAGCCGGAGGGAAACCGAGUCUUAACCGGGCGUUAAGUUGCAGGGUAUAGACCCGAAACCCGGUGAUCUAGCCAUGGGCAGGUUGAAGGUUGGGUAACACUAACUGGAGGACCGAACCGACUAAUGUUGAAAAAUUAGCGGAUGACCUGUGGCUGGGGGUGAAAGGCCAAUCAAACCGGGAGAUAGCUGGUUCUCCCCGAAAGCUAUUUAGGUAGCGCCUCGUGAAUUCAUCUCCGGGGGUAGAGCACUGUUUCGGCUAGGGGGCCAUCCCGGCUUACCAACCCGAUGCAAACUGCGAAUACCGGAGAAUGUUAUCACGGGAGACACACGGCGGGUGCUAACGUCCGUCGUGAAGAGGGAAACAACCCAGACCGCCAGCUAAGGUCCCAAAGUCAUGGUUAAGUGGGAAACGAUGUGGGAAGGCCCAGACAGCCAGGAUGUUGGCUUAGAAGCAGCCAUCAUUUAAAGAAAGCGUAAUAGCUCACUGGUCGAGUCGGCCUGCGCGGAAGAUGUAACGGGGCUAAACCAUGCACCGAAGCUGCGGCAGCGAACGUAUCACCCAAGACAACUUUACGGAGUUGACGAUUGACGGAGCGAAGCGACGUCAAAGCGUUCAUUAAAGUCGAGUUGGCUUAGGGAUACGUUCGUUGGGUAGGGGAGCGUUCUGUAAGCCUGUGAAGGUGUGUCGUGAGGCAUGCUGGAGGUAUCAGAAGUGCGAAUGCUGACAUAAGUAACGAUAAAGCGGGUGAAAAGCCCGCUCGCCGGAAGACCAAGGGUUCCUGUCCAACGUUAAUCGGGGCAGGGUGAGUCGACCCCUAAGGCGAGGCCGAAAGGCGUAGUCGAUGGGAAACGGGUUAAUAUUCCCGUACUUGGUGUUACUGCGAAGGGGGGACGGAGAAGGCUAUGUUGGCCGGGCGACGGUUGUCCCGGUUUAAGCGUGUAGGUGUGUGUUCCAGGUAAAUCCGGUUCACUUUAACACUGAGGCGUGACGACGAGGCACUACGGUGCUGAAGCAACAAAUGCCCUGCUUCCAGGAAAAGCCUCUAAGCAUCAGGUAACAUCAAAUCGUACCCCAAACCGACACAGGUGGUCAGGUAGAGAAUACCAAGGCGCUUGAGAGAACUCGGGUGAAGGAACUAGGCAAAAUGGUGCCGUAACUUCGGGAGAAGGCACGCUGACACGUAGGUGAAGUGAUUUACUCAUGGAGCUGAAGUCAGUCGAAGAUACCAGCUGGCUGCAACUGUUUAUUAAAAACACAGCACUGUGCAAACACGAAAGUGGACGUAUACGGUGUGACGCCUGCCCGGUGCCGGAAGGUUAAUUGAUGGGGUCAGCGCAAGCGAAGCUCCUGAUCGAAGCCCCGGUAAACGGCGGCCGUAACUAUAACGGUCCUAAGGUAGCGAAAUUCCUUGUCGGGUAAGUUCCGACCUGCACGAAUGGCGUAAUGAUGGCCAGGCUGUCUCCACCCGAGACUCAGUGAAAUUGAACUCGCUGUGAAGAUGCAGUGUACCCGCGGCAAGACGGAAAGACCCCGUGAACCUUUACUAUAGCUUGACACUGAACAUUGAGCCUUGAUGUGUAGGAUAGGUGGGAGGCUUUGAAGUGUGGACGCCAGUCUGCAUGGAGCCGACCUUGAAAUACCACCCUUUAAUGUUUGAUGUUCUAACGUGGACCCGUAAUCCGGGUUGCGGACAGUGUCUGGUGGGUAGUUUGACUGGGGCGGUCUCCUCCUAAAGAGUAACGGAGGAGCACGAAGGUUGGCUAAUCCUGGUCGGACAUCAGGAGGUUAGUGCAAUGGCAUAAGCCAGCUUGACUGCGAGCGUGACGGCGCGAGCAGGUGCGAAAGCAGGUCAUAGUGAUCCGGUGGUUCUGAAUGGAAGGGCCAUCGCUCAACGGAUAAAAGGUACUCCGGGGAUAACAGGCUGAUACCGCCCAAGAGUUCAUAUCGACGGCGGUGUUUGGCACCUCGAUGUCGGCUCAUCACAUCCUGGGGCUGAAGUAGGUCCCAAGGGUAUGGCUGUUCGCCAUUUAAAGUGGUACGCGAGCUGGGUUUAGAACGUCGUGAGACAGUUCGGUCCCUAUCUGCCGUGGGCGCUGGAGAACUGAGGGGGGCUGCUCCUAGUACGAGAGGACCGGAGUGGACGCAUCACUGGUGUUCGGGUUGUCAUGCCAAUGGCACUGCCCGGUAGCUAAAUGCGGAAGAGAUAAGUGCUGAAAGCAUCUAAGCACGAAACUUGCCCCGAGAUGAGUUCUCCCUGAGACUUAGAGUCUCCUGAAGGAACGUUGAAGACGACGACGUUGAUAGGCCGGGUGUGUAAGCGCAGCGAUGCGUUGAGCUAACCGGUACUAAUGAACCGUGAGGCUUAACCUUACAACGCCGAAG